UACGUAGGAGGCAAGCGUUGUCCGGAAUUACUGGGCGUAAAGCGCGUGUAGGUGGUGGGACAAGUCUGCUGUGAAAGCGCCUGGCUUAACCGGGCGAGGUCGGCGGAAACUGUCCGACUCGAGGACGGUAGAGGGGGGUGGAAUUCCCGGUGUAGUGGUGAAAUGCGUAGAGAUCGGGAGGAACGCCUGUGGCGAAGGCGGCCCCCUGGGCCGGCCCUGACACUGAGACGCGAAGGCGUGGGGAGCGAACGGG
rnacentral:rRNA from 1 species